GAUGUUUCCCAAAGAGCAAAUCAUAUAAUGAAUGUGCUGAGAGAAAUGAAGAAGGACUAAAAUCAUCUUCAGGAGGAUCACACUCGUAUUUUGAACCCAGAAGUGUACCUGAGACGUAACAGAAGAAUGCACAUUAAAACUAAAAGAGAACUGGAAAAGUGUGCGUAAUAGUGGGAACAACCCUGCUGAGAUGGGACUCUGGACAAUUGUUCAGGACAAGAGCAGCAGAGAAUACUGACAAGUCUGACAGUGAAUGCU